GGGUUAUGAUUGUGAAACAGGAAGGUAUCUGGCAUUAGCACUCAAUGGAUUUGUUCAUAAUUUAGGCCUACAGUGCACCUUGGUCGUCCUAAUGGAAUGGGGAAAUAAGUACACGCUGAGUUUUGGUCUUAUCCAAGGGGUUCCAAGCAUCACCUUCGGGGAGGCAUGAUGUACAGUCAUAUUUGUGAGUGGGUGUUCAGCUUGACAUUAGUACUGAUAAAAGGGAUUUCGGGCUGAGCUUUGCUGUUUGUAGCCUCAAGUGCAACAGGGUUUUAGUCAAAUUGUGCAACAUCAGUCGUAACUUGAAAAAAUGGGAUUUCCGAUUCUGAGUCGCUUUAAGUUGUCAGCCUUGCACAAGUGCUCUUGAGAGCCAAGAAGAAUAAUAGCCUAGAGAUCAACUUGAUAGGCUGAUAGAUGGGGUGGCAUUUUUUACCCCCAAGGUUCUUGAAAAAUGAAGAUGCAAAAUCCUGUAAACUUUGCCAUGGAUCUCCACCAACCCUUCAUCGACCCUCACGAACUGCUUGUUGGUGCUUAGCUUCACCGCUUCCAAACGAUGGAAGAGUUGGUGGACUCGGCUACAGAAGCUUAUGAUGGCAAGCGAUGGAUAGAAGGAGAAGAAGCAUCCGCAAUGAUACUCAACCCGGCUCCCUUCAUGUGGCAUGGCCCAUUGGACGAUCGCCUCAUCUACCGGGACUGCUUCUUCAUCCUGACGUAUAGGAAUCGUCUCGGUGAAAUAGGCCAGGAGUCUGGUGCUGAGGAAGACAGAUGGCUGAUGUAUGCUCCAGAGCCUGAGCUGAGGGAGGACAAGAUCUGUGGUAUCAUUAAGAACAAAAGGAGGAACAGAAAGCCAAACGACUCCGACAACAUACCAUUGAUCCGAUAUGUUCGCCCGUGUUUAGAUGCAGCCCAAAUUCCAAAAGUUUUUGAAAACGGGCCACUUUUUGGAAUUUUGCAACUAAACGGGCCUGUGUAAAGUUUUGGA